rnacentral:rRNA from 1 species
GACGAAGGGGGCUAGCGUUGUUCGGAAUUACUGGGCGUAAAGCGAGUGUAGGUGGUUGUCCAAGUUGGAUGUGAAAGCCUUGAGCUCAACUCAAGAAAUGCAUUCAGGACUGGGCGGCUAGAGGACCGGAGAGGAUAGUGGAAUUCCCAGUGUAGUGGUGAAAUGCGUAGAGAUGUGGAGGAACACCGAUGGCGAAGGCAGCCCCCUGGGUCAAAACUGACGCUCAUGCACGAAAGCGUGGGGAGCAAACAGG